UAACGCUUAGCUUAACGGUAGAGCAGUAAAUUCCUAAUUUGAUGAUAGAAGUUCGAUUCUUCUAGUGUUAG
rnacentral:tRNA from 1 species